UGGGGAAUAUUGCACAAUGGGCGCAAGCCUGAUGCAGCCAUGCCGCGUGUAUGAAGAAGGCCUUCGGGUUGUAAAGUACUUUCAGCGGGGAGGAAGGUGUUGAGGCUAAUAACCUCAGCAAUUGACGUUACCCGCAGAAGAAGCACCGGCUAACUCCGUGCCAGCAGCCGCGGUAAUACGGAGGGUGCAAGCGUUAAUCGGAAUUACUGGGCGUAAAGCGCACGCAGGCGGUCUGUCAAGUCGGAUGUGAAAGCCCCGGGCUCAACCUGGGAACUGCAUUCGAAACUGGCAGGCUAGAGUCUUGUAGAGGGGGGUAGAAUUCCAGGUGUAGCGGUGAAAUGCGUAGAGAUCUGGAGGAAUACCGGUGGCGAAGGCGGCCCCCUGGACAAAGACUGACGCUCAGGUGCGAAAGCGUGGGGAGCAAACA
rnacentral:rRNA from 1 species